AACAUGAGUUGACUAGGUCAUGCUGUCAGAAUGGAUGAAGAAUCUUCAGCAAAGAAUUCUUUUGAAGGCGACCAUAGAAGAAAACGUAAACGGGGAUGACCCAAACUCCGAUGGAGUGACCAAGUGGAGAGGAAUAUCUGUAAACUGGGUGUCGGAAAUUGGGGAGAAGCGCAGAAUACGAGGCGCUUGAGCAUCUAUUCUACGUUCGGUUGAAGAAAUAAAUUUUCUGUAAUGGCCAUUUAACGUAAAAAAAUUUCAGUGAACAACCAUGCCGAGUUUGGUUAAAGCGAUCUCCCGAUAUAAGCGUUGAGCCAUGAAAUGCGAGAAAUUUGCGCCAGUGAGUUGCCCGGACCCCUCAACAUCUUAGUAUGUAUGCAGCUGCCACAUAGCCCUGUGUUCCGAUUGAAUGCAUUCUUAAAAAGCCGCAUUUCUUACCCAAAAUUUAUACAUUUUGAAAAAGAUUCCUUAGCACUCGUACCAGUUACAGUCAAUAUAAGAAUUCGAAAUUCGAAGCAGUGCGAUCCCUUGUAACAGUAUAUUGCCCGUCGACACCCAUGGUUUUAUUCAACACUUUUAACGAAUAUACAGAAAUGACAAGGAGUGACUAAAAUAAAAUAAGUUAUCCCCGGCUAUUUUUUCAGUAGUUAACUUAUAGAAUGGUAAAACCAACCAAAAUUGAGGUCAGCCUACUUUUUGUUUUCAUUAACAAUUUGGCUUUGUUAAGUGAAGAUAUUUCUAAGAUAGUAUCCGCCAAUACAAAAUAGACUUUGUAAAAAUAUA
rnacentral:sRNA from 1 species